GAUGAAGAACGUAGCGACAUGCGAUAAGUAAUGUGAAUUGCAGAAUUCAGUGAAUCAUCGAAUCUUUGAACGCACAUUGCGCCCUCUGGUAUUCCGGGGGGCAUGCCUGUUCGAGCGUCAUUACAACCCUCAAGCUUUGCUUGGUAUUGGACAUUGCCAGUUUCUGGCAGGUCUUAAAAUCAGUGGCGGUGCCAUUUGGCUUCAAGCGUAGUAAUUCUUCUCGCUUUGGAGAUCCAGGUGGUUACUUGCCAAUAACCCCCAAUUUUUUCAGGUUGACCUCGGAUCAGGUAGGGAUACCCGCUGAACUUAAGCAUAUCAAUAAGCGGAGGA
rnacentral:misc_RNA from 1 species